rnacentral:rRNA from 1 species
UACGAAGGGGACAAGCGUUGUUCGGAAUCAUUGGGCGUAAAGCGAACGUAGGCGGGCUUGUAAGUCGGUUGUGAAAUCCCUGGGCUUAACCCGGGAACUGCAGUCGAAACUGUGAGUCUUGAAUGCUCGAGAGGAUGGUGGAAUUCCUGGAGUAGAAGUGAAAUUCGUAGAUAUCAGGAGAAACACCGGAGGCGAAGGCGGCCAUCUGGCGAGACAUUGACGCUGAGGUUCGAAAGCGUGGGGAGCAAACAGG